rnacentral:lncRNA from 1 species
CGGUUCUCAGGGCUUGCUUCUUGGACCUCAGUACCCUCCUCACUCUGGCCGGGAACGCUGUUGCACACUCAGUGUAGUGUCGCAGCGAAUUGGCAAAACUGAACUCUGCAAGACCCCAGUUUCCUGAUCGGUUGCCUAACCUCGGAUCCACUGUCAGCAUUCGGACGAUUUUGAAGAUGCCCCAACUGCACUUGUAAUCAGCGAUACCCUUCUAACAACAGCAUUCGUAUGACAACAGUAACACACAAUGCGGAUACUGUUCAUCAACAUCUAUGUGGCGGUUGUGGCUUUGGUGACCCUCCGUGCACAGUCAUCAGAGGCAAAUGAACGUCAACGAUCGAAUGGAGAUCAACGUUUCCCAGAGACAGUAGAUGGGAAGAAAAUGAUAAACCUUAUGAACAAACAACUGCAAGAUUGACUGACUUAUCUGUUUACUAGUAAGCAGUAUGACAGCCAGUACUGGGAGCGCCCAGGUAUGGCAAAAUACCUGAAGGAAAUGAGCGACAAGGAAUGGGAAGAAGGACUUGACACAUUGAAGAAGUACAUGCAACGUGGAUGAAAGAUUGGAGACUUCAGAGACCAAGUGAAAGUAGAGGCUAAGGGUCAUCUUCGUACCUCCAACGAUGAAAUUAAGAACGACGAUAUGCCGGAGAGUUUGAAAAAGAUCCAUAAAGAUUCUUCGAAGAAAUUUAAUAUAAGGAACAGGCUCAUGAAGAAAGUUUGCAUUAAAGACGCAGAGAUCUGCCAUUUCCUUGAGGAGGGUCUUGCCAAAGAGGCCGAAAGGAUGUACGAAUUGAAGAGCUACCAGACCAUUGCAACGGGUCUGAUGCCCACAGGCGUGGGGCUCAGUCUGUUUGACGCUAGCUUGUAAAUUGCCACUUGUCUUUCGAUAUUUUAGUUGGUUAUGGAUUCCUUUCUUGUGAGUUGUUCAAGUUUCACUAAUGUGACUUCUAGCGAAAGCACAAUGAUAUUCAGGCUGUGUUAUUCGAUUUUUUUUUCUCAUUCGAUAGCACAUUCUUCUUACUAUUACUGUCUACUUUCAUAACGGUUGAAUGUGUCUGUUAAAUUAUUAUUCCACAUGUUUAUGUAGAGCACACUUUAACUCUGUUAAAGAACAGUUAUCACUAAUUUUGAUGAUGAACGACAUGUAAUACCAGCCUUCAAAAAAAUGACAGAAGCGACAUUUUUUUUCCAUGACACGUAGAUGAGAGUAAAAUAUUAAAUUUGAACGAAACAAUUGCAUUAAACUUUUUUUUUUUUUUUUUUUUUUUUUUUUUUAAUAAAACGUCUCCUACAUCGGUUGGACUGCUAAGCAGCUAAACACUUAUCUCUGUUUCCGACUUGCAAGUACAAAAGUUAUUAGACAAUAUGUAAUAAAUUUGUUUUUCCAACGCCGUGAUGUCCGAGCUCUGACGAAACAAAAAUCAAACUGGCCAAGUAGCACAUCACCCACUUAUAUGCACUAAAAAGGACACCUUAGCUAAGUUUAGAUACCACUGCGAAGCGAAGAUAGUUACUUGGAAAAGAGGAUCAAGGAAUACGGAUAUUAAAUGGGGCAAAUGGAUGUAUAGAGCUGAGCAGAUGUAGCCUAUAUAUAACUGGAAAACUACAUAUAAUAAAAAUGCUCAUGCUUCAGGCAACAAAAUUAUACAACUUCUUAUAAUUCACGUACCAAGGUUUUGUAUAAUAUAAUAUUACAUAAACUAAUAACAGAAGUUUGCAGCAACCUGGCGAACCUAAACGUCCUGAUAUAACAAAGCUUUAAGAAUUUCACCAAUUCCUCAUGUACCCAUAACAUCAACACCAGAGCUAUGUUCAGCCUGAGACGGGCCAUCCAGGCUGGGGCAUAGAACAUGUAAUCUUUGUCAGGGUGGCGGAACUGCCAUUUCUAUCGAGGUGACUUAAACUACUCUAGAUGGAGGUGACCACCCCCUAAGAGGCGAGAGAACGGGCAGUGGCAUAAUUAGCAAGGAUGGUUACACCCAUUAUUGAUCAGGCUGUAACGACCUUCACCACUCACAGAGGGGGUAGCCUCAGGUAACUCCAGUACACUUUAACCUCCAGUAGAAGUAACUCUAGUCGACAAGUCAAUAAUGAUACGGAGACCAAAACAUUUGUUUGGUUUUAUAUGACUUUAUUGAUAUGCACAUUCCUACCGAUGCAUGUUAAAGUGAUGUAGAAAAGAUGUUUUACAUCAGUGGUUCCCAAUCGCCAGGAGUUGCGUAACCUUGGAAAAAAAAUAGGUAUUUUUGCUAGUUAUUCUGAAGAUAACAUGAAGGCAUGUCUUCCUUAUAAAGUUGUACUGCAACUAAAGAAAUAAAACACGUUCAGA